rnacentral:rRNA from 1 species
AUUGAACGCUGGCGGCAUGCCUUACACAUGCAAGUCGAACGGCAGCACGGGUGCUUGCACCUGGUGGCGAGUGGCGAACGGGUGAGUAAUACAUCGGAACAUGUCCUGUAGUGGGGGAUAGCCCGGCGAAAGCCGGAUUAAUACCGCAUACGAUCUACGGAUGAAAGCGGGGGACCUUCGGGCCUCGCGCUAUAGGGUUGGCCGAUGGCUGAUUAGCUAGUUGGUGGGGUAAAGGCCUACCAAGGCGACGAUCAGUAGCUGGUCUGAGAGGACGACCAGCCACUCUGGGACUGAGACACGGCCCAGACUCCUACGGGAGGCAGCAGUGGGGAAUUUUGGACAAUGGGCGAAAGCCUGAUCCAGCAAUGCCGCGUGUGUGAAGAAGGCCUUCGGGUUGUAAAGCACUUUUGUCCGGAAAGAAAUCCUUGGCCCUAAUACGGUCGGGGGAUGACGGUACCGGAAGAAUAAGCACCGGCUAACUACGUG